rnacentral:antisense_RNA from 14 species
AAAAACCAAAAAUAGUGUUGGGACUUAAAGUAAGAUUCGUUAUUUUUCUCACAUCUCCACCACCAGGAGCCCAGGUAUCAUAUAUACCGCCAAAAAACAAAGCUUUUAGCACUAGAAGAAAAGCGCCAGCCCCUAGUAAAAUAAGGUGAAUACCCAAAAUAGUGGUCAUUUUAUUUCUAUCUUUCCA